UACGUAGGAUGCAAGCGUUGUCCGGAAUUAUUGGGCGUAAAGAGCUCGUAGGCGGUUUGUCGCGUCUGCUGUGAAAACCCGGGGCUCAACCCCGGGCCUGCAUUCGAUACGGGCAGACUAGAGUUCGGUAGGGGAGUCUGGAAUUCCUGGUGUAGCGGUGAAAUGCGCAGAUAUCAGGAGGAACACCGGUGGCGAAGGCGGGACUCUGGGCCGAUACUGACGCUGAGGAGCGAAAGCGUGGGGAGCAAACAGG
rnacentral:rRNA from 1 species